UUGGGCUCUUUCCCAUCUUGCAAGAUGGUGGGUGAAAAAGCUGAGAAGCUGGAUACUAAAGAGAAGAAACCUGAAGCCAAGAAGGCUGAUGCCGGUGGCAAAGUGAAAAAGGCUAACCUCAAAGCUAAAAAGGUUAAGAAGGGGAAGCCCCACUGCAGCUGAAAUCCUGUUCUCGUCAGAGGAAUCGGCAGAUAGUCCUGAUCUGCCAUGUACUCUAGGAAGGCCAUGUACAAGAGGAAAUGCUCAGUGGCUAAGUCCAAGGUUGAAAAGAAAAAGAAAGAGAAGGUCCUCGCCACUAUUACAAAACCAGUUGGUGGUGACAAGAAUGGUGGCACUUGGGUGGUUAAACUUCGCAAAAUACCUAGAUAUUAUCUAACUGAAGAUGUGCCUCGAAAGCUGUUGAGCCAUGGCAAAAAACCCUUUAGCCAACACGUGAGAAGACUGCGAGCCAGCAUCACUCCCAGAACCAUCCUCAUCAUCCUCACUGGAUGCCACAGAGGCAAGAGGGUGGUUUUCCUGAAGCAACUGGGCAGUGGCUUGUUACUUGUGACUGGACCUCUGUCCCUCAAUCAAGUUCCUCUGCGAAGGACACACCAGAAAUUUGUCAUCACCACCUCCACAAAAAUUGAUAUCAGCAAUGUGAAAAUCCCUAAGCAUCUCACUGAUGCUUACUUCAAGAAGAAGAAGCUGCGGAAGCCCAGACACCAGGAGGGUGAGAUCUUUGACACAGAAAAAGAGAAAUAUGAGAUUAUAGAACAGUGCAAAGUGGAUCAGAAAGCUGUGGACUCCCAAAUUUUACCAAAAAUCAAGGCUAUUCCUUAGCUCCAGGGCUAUCUGCGAUCUCUGUUUGCUCUGACAAAUGGAAUUUAUCCUCACAGAUUGGUAUUCUAAAUUUUUACAAAGAACCUAAUUAAA